rnacentral:tRNA from 1 species
GCGGCCGUGGCGCAACAGGCGAGACGCGAUGGAUUCAAAAUCCAUUGCCCGAGAGGGUAUGUGGGUUCGACUCCCACCGGCCGCACCU